UACAGAGGUCCCAAGCGUUGUUCGGAUUCACUGGGCGUAAAGGGUGCAUAGGCGGUUGGGUAAGUCUGACGUGAAAUCUCCGGGCCUAACCCGGAAACUGCGUUGGAUACUAUCCGGCUAGAGGAAUGGAGGGGAGACUGGAAUACUUGGUGUAGCAGUGAAAUGCGUAGAUAUCAAGUGGAACACCAGUGGCGAAGGCGAGUCUCUGGACAUUUCCUGACGCUGAGGCACGAAAGCCAGGGGAGCAAACGGG
rnacentral:rRNA from 1 species